rnacentral:rRNA from 1 species
GUGUCAGCAGCCGCGGUAACACCAGCCCCCUGAGUGGUGGGGACGUUUAUUUGGCCUAAAGCGUCCGUAGCUGGCUGUAUCCGUUACCCGUCAAAUCCAGCGUCUCAAGCGUUGGGCCGCGGGUGAUACCAUACAGCUAGAGGGUGGGACAGGUGAGCGGUAUUCCUGGGGUAGGGGCGAAAUCCUUUGAUCCCAGGAGGACCACCAGUGGCGAAGGCUGCUCACUAGAACACGCCUGACGGUCAGGGACGAAAGCUGGGGCAGCGAACCGGAUUAGAUACCCGGGUAGUCCCAGCUGUAAACGAUGCUCGCUAGGUGUUGGGUCGGCCAUGCGCCGCCCCAGUGCCGCAGGGAAGCCGUUAAGCGAGCCGCCUGGGGAGUACGGCCGCAAGGCUGAAACUCAAAUGAAUUGACGGGG